rnacentral:rRNA from 1 species
CCUACGGGAGUCUGCAGUGGGGAAUAUUGCACAAUGGGGGAAACCCUGAUGCAGCGACGCCGCGUGAGUUAAGAAGUAUUUCGGUAUGUAAAGCUCUAUCAGCAGGGAAGAAAAUGACGGUAACUGAUUAAGAAGCCCCGGCUAACUCCGUUCCAGAAGCCGCGGGAAUACGUAGGGGGCAAGCGUUAUCCGGAUAUACUGGGUGUAAAGGGAGAGUAGACGGCAGCACAAGUCUGGAGUGAAAGGCCGGGGCUUAACCCCGGAACUGCUUUGGAAACUGUGCAGCUAGCGUGCAGGAGAGGUAAGUGGAAUUCCUAGUGGAGCGGUGAAAUGCGUAGAUAUUAGGAGGAACACCAGUGGCGAAGGCGGCUUACUGGACUGUAACUGACGUUGAGGCUCGAAAGCGUGGGGAGCAAACAGGAUUAGAUACCCCUGUAGUC